rnacentral:rRNA from 1 species
GAUGAACGCUGGCGGCGUGCCUAAUACAUGCCAGUCGAGCGAAGAGACGAUGAGCUUGUUCCUCUGACGUUAGCGGCGGACGGGGGAGUAACACGUGGAUAACCUAUCUAUAAUAGUGGGAUAACUGCGGGACACCGGAGCUAACACCUGAUACCAUGGUUAACCGCAGGGUUCAACAGUGAAAGACUGUCUUCUUGUGACGUAUAGACGGAUCCUCGCCGCAUUAGCUAGUUGGUAAGUUACCGGGUUAACAAGGCAACGAUGCGUAGCCGACCUGAGAGGGUGAGAGGCCAAACAGGAACUGAGACACGGUCAAGAGGCCUAGGCGAGGCAGGAGGGGGGAAGUUUGGACAAUGGGCGAAAGCCUGACGGAGCAACGCCGCGUGGGUGAAGAAGGUCUGAGGAUCGUAAGACUGUGUUAUUAGGGAAGAAGAAAUGUGUAAGUCACUCUGCACGUCUUGACGGUACCUAAACAGAAAGCCACGGCUAACUACGUG